rnacentral:rRNA from 1 species
CCCUUAGAUGUCCUGGGCCGCACGCGCGCUACACUGAGUGUCUGAGAUACGAGUCUGCCUGGUCCGGCAAGGUCUAGGUAAUCGCUAAAAGACACAUCAUGCUUGGGAUAGAUUAUUGCAAAUAUUAAUCUUGAACGAGGAAUUCCUAGUAAGCGCAAGUCAACAGCUUGCGUUGAUUGCGUCCCUGCCCUUUGUACACACCGCCCGUCGCUACUACUGAUUGGAUGUUUAAGCGAGGUUCUCGAACUGCUAGCGACUUAGCUUCGGUGAGGUCGCAGUGUGGGAAGUGAACCUAGCUUUGGUGUCUAGAGGAAGUAAAAGUCGUAACA